rnacentral:rRNA from 1 species
GGCGGCGGACGGGUGAGUAACACGUGGAUAACCUACCUAUAAGACUGGGAUAACUUCGGGAAACCGGAGCUAAUACCGGAUAACAUAUUGAACCGCAUGGUUCAAUAGUGAAAGGCGGCUUUGCUGUCACUUAUAGAUGGAUCCGCGCCGUAUUAGCUAGUUGGUAAGGUAACGGCUUACCAAGGCAACGAUACGUAGCCGACCUGAGAGGGUGAUCGGCCACACUGGAACUGAGACACGGUCCAGACUCCUACGGGAGGCAGCAGUAGGGAAUCUUCCGCAAUGGGCGAAAGCCUGACGGAGCAACGCCGCGUGAGUGAUGAAGGUCUUCGGAUCGUAAAACUCUGUUAUCAGGGAAGAACAAAUGUGUAAGUAACUGUGCACAUCUUGACGGUACCUGAUCAGAAAGCCACGGCUAACUACGUGCCAGCAGCCGCGGUAAUACGUAGGUGGCAAGCGUUAUCCGGAAUUAUUGGGCGUAAAGCGCGCGUAGGCGGUUUUUUAAGUCUGAUGUGAAAGCCCACGGCUCAACCGUGGAGGGUCAUUGGAAACUGGAAAACUUGAGUGCAGAAGAGGAAAGUGGAAUUCCAUGUGUAUCGGUGAAAUGCGCAGAGAUAUGGAGGAACACCAGUGGCGAAGGCGACUUUCUGGUCUGUAACUGACGCUCAUGUGCGAAAGCGUGGGGAUCAAACAGGAUUAUAUACCCUGGUG